rnacentral:rRNA from 1 species
AUUGAACGCUGGCGGCAUGCUUUACACAUGCAAGUCGAACGGCAGCGCGGGCUUCGGCCUGGCGGCGAGUGGCGAACGGGUGAGUAAUGCAUCGGAACGUGCCCAGUAGUGGGGGAUAGCCCGGCGAAAGCCGGAUUAAUACCGCAUACGACCUGAGGGUGAAAGCGGGGGACCGAAAGGCCUCGCGCUAUUGGAGCGGCCGAUGUCGGAUUAGCUAGUUGGUGGGGUAAAGGCUUACCAAGGCGACGAUCCGUAGCUGGUCUGAGAGGACGACCAGCCACACUGGGACUGAGACACGGGCCAGACUCCCACGGGAGGGACCAGGGGGGAAUUUUUGGCAAAGGGGGGAACCCCUAUCCCGCCCUGCCCCGGGGGGGAAAAAGGGCCUUCGGGUUGAAAACCGUUUUUGUUGGGGAAAAAAUCCUUUGGGUUAAAACCCCGGGGGGAUGCCUGUCCCGGAAAAAUAAGCACCGGCUAACUACGG